CGUACCAAGCAAAGAGGUAGCUUUCAAUUUAUUGCCUAGAGAGUAGGGGUGUUCGUCUGAUUUUGGUCAAAAGCAGUAAUCGAACAUAACAUGUUGGUUCUAUAGUAUUUUGACCCAAGAAAUAAUUUGAAAUCGUACUAACCAGUUCGGUUUGGUUCGAGUUUUAAUCGAUUUCUUACUUUACAUAUAACCUAGUAUCAGUUCGGUUUGGUUUAUUUGUUUUUUUAACGAGAAAAUUGUAGAUCAAACCAAAAAAACUAAAACUUUUAAAAGAUUAAGACAUGAUGAAGGUUAUGUUCAUAUCAUCACGUAGAAGUAUAUGUGUUGGAGGAUCAUUAAUUGUCCCUAAAAGAUUGAUUAAGCAAUUUUUAACAUUUUUAAAGAAUAAAUACACACAUAAAAAUUUAUGAGCAAAACUUGUAUGGUAAAUUAAAUAACUUAAAUGUAGAGAGAAAGGAAUGAUUUACUUACUACUCUUAGACGACUUAAACCAUCGAAAUCCAAUUUCUUGUUAUCGCCAAAAACCUCCAAAACUUCUGCUCUUGCUCGAUCUUGCCACUCUGGGUAUCGACCAAGUAGAACCAUUGUCCAAGCAAGCAAUACAGCUGUGGUUUCUUGACCGGCAAAAUAGAAAAGCCUGCAUUCACUAAUUACUUCUUCUAUGCUCAUUCCAACAUCUUUCUUGUUUUUGUGUUCUUCAAUUUGACUUGCAUUUGAUUCUAAAAGAAUGCCUAAUAGAUCUUCAUUGUUGGAAGCUUCACCCUUCUUCAUACCAUUUUGUCUUUUGUUUAUAAUACCCCGAACCAUAUCUCGUAUUUUUGUAUCAAUCUCUUGCAUCCUAUUGUUUAAUUUUGUUGGUACAUACCUAAAACCAAAUAUAUGUACUAUUCAUCAACAAUUCAAUCAAAAUAGUCGUUUCAACUAUGAAAACGACAAAUAAAAAGCAAAAAACAGUUCACAAUAAAGAUAAACACAAAUAUUUACUUGAUUAUCUGACCGUGUGUUAAACUAUAGAUGGAAAAAUCAAUUUAUUAUUAGACAAAACUUAGUUAAUACUGAUUGAAAAUACAUCAAUAGAAUUAAAGAAUAUAUAAAUGACACUUCUCUAAACUCUUUGGCCUUAAGCCUAGAAUCAUAAAUAGCAAAAAGUACAAAAAAUGGUUAUUUUCUCAAUUAAAAAAAAUUAAUUAACUAAAAGCUACCAAUAAAAACUAAGGGUGAAAUCGGGUUGGGUUGGGUUGGGAGACAUUCUCAACUCAACCCAUAUUUUCUGGUUAUUUGGGUUGACAACUCGAAUAACCCGAAUUUAGUUUCUAAUCCAACCCGUAAAAUAUGGGUUGAGUUGUCGGAUUGUAUAUAUAAUUAUUUUUUUAAUUUUUCUUUUCCCAUUUUCUAAUUUCUAAUGAUUAUAAAAGUUUGAAAUUGUUACAUUUAAAUUUCAAACCUACAUAAUUCAAACUUUCAUACAAUAAAUUCAAGAUUUAUAUACAUUUAAUUUGUUUUUUUUAUUAAAAUAAUAUUUAUUUAUUUAUUUACUUAUUUAUAUAUUACAUAAUUCAGAUUGGGUUGGGUUGAACCAAAAUUUUCAACCCUCCAACCUGAGACCCAACCCAACCCGAAAAAAUCAUUUUUUUUAACCCAACCCAACUCAUAUUUUAACCUAACCCAACCCAACCCUUAUAAUAUGGGUUGUGUAGUCCGGGUUAUUCGGGUUCAACUCAUAUUUGUACACCCUUACUCAAAACCAAAAGUGAGUGAAAAUGAAAAUCUUGAAACAUUAAAUAUCAUCAAAUAAAAAUUAAUUAAAUUUAAUAUACUAGGAUAGUCGGAAGCUGAUCAAACGUUUGCAUCCAACCGUUCAGAAUAUUGGAUUCAAUCCAUAAAUAAGUAAUUAAAAAAGAUCACACACCAUCUUAUUGAGACACAUUAAGGAACCUACAAUAUUUGAAACAAAAAGAGAGAUCUCAAGAUCUUUAAAAAAUACAUUGAUACUAUUUAUCUCAUUGUGAAUUAGUUAGCUAUGAGGUCGGUUGAGUAAGAAUAUAUAUUACUUUGGACCAAAUGAAAGUUAUACUAAAAAAUGGCAAAGAGACCAAAAAGAUAUUUAGUUGAGAUCAAUUUAAAUAACUAAAGCAACAUAUACCCAUAAUACAUUGAAUUAUCAUACCUAGCCCCUGGAAUGUAGUAACCUCUCUUUGUUAGGUACGACAUCAAUAGCAUUGCCCACUCUUUCAAGAGUUGGAAGAUUUUUUUUCCUUCGUCAUAACUACUCCCAAAAGCAGUUCUUGAAAUCACAUCAGCAGUCAUAUUUUGUAAAUCAGGCCACACAUCUAUUUCACAACUUUCUUCUUCAUUAAUCAUCUUUUCCCAUUUGUUAACCAUUUCUCUACAACUCUUCGAGAAUGCAGGAAACAUUUCCUACACAAAAUUUCACAAGCAUAAAAUACACUUAAAAAAGCAAAGAACCUCAUACUGUGAUUGUACUUAUAAGAUAGAUGGAUGGACUAUUUUUGUUAUUGACAAUUGGUAUUGAGUUCAAUAAAAUUUUGGAAUCUGAUAAAAAACAGUGAACCUGGAAAAACUAAUCAUGAUAUCACUAUCACAGAUGUACAUUAUUGAAGGAAGGUAUUUUUGAAAUGUGUUUGUGGGUCCUACGUACUUUUCUUUAGAAUGGAAAUAAAUUUCAAUGAGAAAUGAAUUAAAAAAAUGGUAAAGUUCCAAAACUCUGCAUCUCCAAAUGGGAAUCUAAUCAAACAUGAAAGACUAAAAUAUGAAGGAAAAAAAAAAGGAGAGUAAAGGAGGUAAUAGAAUCAUGACAAAAUUAAUAAUCCGAACAAUUUGGUUGGAUCUAAAACAAACUCUUCAAUCUCUGGUGAUCCAUUCCUUUAAUUACACAUACAGUAAGGCAGAAAGACAAGAAGUUUAAACAUGGAAAAUACAUAUAAAUUGUAGCUUUAUAUACAUGGUAGUCUUAAUUUCUACUCGGUAGAAUUUGGGUUCGAGUUUUUUUUUUUUUAAUAUAAAGUAAAUGCACAAAAAUGAACUUUUUUUGGGGAAUAUAUUGAAAUUAGGCCAAAAUAAUAAUAAUAAUUAUACCUUUAACUUCUCCAUGUGAAAAGCAGGGUUGAUGAUUUUUCUAUGUUUAGCCCAUUUAGAUCCCUCGAGAGUGACAAGUCCACUACCCAUUCUUCGUCUAAGGGGAAAUGAAGAUGUCUUUCGAAUAUCAUUUAUUUGAGAGAAAGCAAUCUUCACUUGUUCUGGUUCUGUUAUAUACACUCUUGGUGUUGUUCCAAUCCAUGUGAAAGAAUUCUUACCUACCAAUUAAUAUUUCAUUUUAAACAAAUAAUAACCAGAUGAAGUAGUGAUAAAAAAGAUCAGAAUUAGAUGAGAGGAAGAUAGAGACGAGUAGUACCAUAUUUGUGGAUGGUGGGAUAAGAGGAAGGAGUGGCACGUGAAGCAAUAUCAUGAGAGAAGGUCAUGGACUGCAAUCUUGCUUGCCGGACGGCCACCCCAAUCUCCUUCGUAUCACCAAAGAGAAAGCGAUAAGAGUUGCCGGCGAGGCCUUGCUGUCUCAACAACUUCUCAAGCCUCUUUGGCCUAAGCCAAACCCAAUUCACAAUUCUCCAUCCCCAUAAUCCCAGUAAUCCCAAGAACCACAAUAAACCCACUCCCCAUAUCCAAUUAUUCCACUUCAUCAUAUCCACUUCCCCACUCUACACUUUAAUUUUCCAACACAAAACUCUCUCUCUAUAUAUAUCAUUUCUUUUCCAAUUGUGUGUGAAUUUCUAGGCAAGGACUUCAGCACCCAUUAGAAGAUAAAGGUAGAUUUUUUGAAACUUUAAAGAUUCCCUGUUUAUUUUAAUAUUAAUUAUUAUACAAAUUCACAGAGAUACAUAUAAAAUUGGAUUUGUUUAUUUUUAGCUCUUUUAUCUACAUUCUGAUAUUUAUAUACUUGAUAAAGUUUAGUUUUUCUAAUCUCGUAUAUGUUAAUUACGUUUAAAUCUUUUAUUAGUAAAUAUUAGUAUCUAACAUACAAAAGUUAAUAAAUUUUGUAUUUUUUGUUUAAAUAAUUGUUUUAUAUGCCAUUGACAUGGAGAUAAAAUUGGCACAAAAUAAAUUAUGUAUUUUUUGUGUGGAAAAUUAGAUGAGAGCUCCACGUGUGGAUAGUUGUUUAGAGAUUUGUAAUUUGAUUAGAGUUAAAAGGAUUGAAGCAUAAAAUAAUGUCAAAACCAAGAUGCAGACGUUCCAUGAAGCUCAUCCCGAGAAAUAAAUGGAGCCAUCAUACUUGUCUGCAUAUGUAACUAAUUCAAAUCAGAGAAUAUAUAAUUGUCUACGACUACAACGUCAUUGAUUACGUACACAACAUUCCUUUUCAAUCAAGCCAACCAUUUUUUUAGUUAAAGAUUAGUUCCCCACUUAAUUAUUUUACGAAAGAGUCAUAAAGUUUAGAUAACUUUUUCUUACGUUUCCCAAACUUUUAGACCAUAACAUUUUGUUCAACUUUUUCGUUAAAAUUGUUCGUGCUAAAUUUUGGAUAAAAAAUUGCAUUUAAGAGGACCUGUAAAAAAAUGGACUUUAAUAUCUAACCCAAUGAAAAAACUUAAUAAUUGAGAAAAAGUAAAAGCCUUGUAAAGAACCCAACCCACUAGGAUUAAUUAGAAUAUUGGUUUCAUAAUUUGAUAACCUCGGUUCAUCUCUCGAAUUAAAUAAGCUAAGUCAUGUAUUUAAUUAAUCAUCAAAUUUUUUAAGACUCAACUUUAAUUACUUCAUUCAAAAAUGCCUAGUGAAGUUUGAAUGUUUGACUGAAAGCAUUCCUCUUCUCACGGCAUACAUAGACCAUAAUAUUGUCCAUUCAACAAAUGGAGAAGGUCGACCUCAGUCACAUUCUUAACUAAGACCUAUGAUAAAGAAGUUGGUUUGGACUUUUAACCUAAAUCGAAAGAUUUAACCUCAUCCUCAUCGGAGUCGAGCCCAAUUUGCAUUUUUCUUCUAAGGUUAUGCAUGGGCUACGAUCCUAUAUUCUUGAGGCCUGUAAUGCUUAAACUUGGGGGCAAGUUUGGAUCUGUGAUAUUUGUCAGCCCACUCCAAGUAUGAGGCUGUCCUCAGUCCUCAGUCCUCAGUUUGCGUUGCUUUGCUUGUUGCUCAUCACUUUUCACCCACCGCCUUGUCGUCUCAUUGUUGCACACACACUGUUUCAUUGUUCAUGUGUUUUCUGGAAUAUGAUUCUGAUUUCUUGGCUUAUUCUAUGAUAUAUCGUUUGACCCCAUUUUUUUCGUUAGAGUUGGAUGGAAAUUAACAUUGUUAUAACUAUAUGUAUAUUUUUCUAAAUAACUUAAGAACAUUUAUCAAUCCAACCCAACUAAACAAUACGAGGAUUUGCUGUAUUAAAAAGUUCAAUUAUUACUCACAAAAUAAAUUAAAUUAUAAAAAAAAGGUUAAUAAAAUCAACUUGAAACAUUUACCUAUAGACAUUCAUGUACUACAUAAAAUAAUAACAACGCAGGUGAAGUAGUGUUUAGUGAUAGCAUUUUAAUGUUUAUGCUUCUUUUGUUUUUUUCUUUUAAUUUAAAGGGGAUAAUGGUUUAUUGUUAUUCAGGAUCACUUUCUAUUUAUCAUUUUCAAACUUAAAAUAAAUGAAUAAUUCCUCCAAGCUUAGCACUAUAUCUUUGAAAUUAAUGCCACAAGGAUAUUUUGCACGCAUAUACUUUAUCUCAACAUGAUCAUAUUUUUAAAAACCCAAUAUGGAUGGUGAUGUGUAGCCCUUGAGUCUCCUUAAACUAAUUAAAUUGAGGCAACAAAAAAAGAGAAAGAAAUAAAAUAGAAACAAGCUGUGUGUAAUGCAAAUAUCACUAGUAUCACCAAAAGAAAACAAUUAAUAAUAGAGGACACACACAUGAAACUGUUAUAAAUAAGGUUUGACCAAUUAGAUGAUCAUUUACAAGCAACUUAGGAUGAUAAACGCAUCAAAAGGAUUUUAAAAAAUGGUGAGGCAGAGAGAAAAUAUGUUGUUUCUGAGUAUAUUGGCAUUCAUAUAUAUUCAUAGCAUGCAAGGUGUGAAGGAGUUAAUGAAUAUGACUAUUUGCGAGUUGUGCUUCAAUGACAGCCAGCCACUUGUAGUGAUGCAACCAAGCCUUACCCUUAUUGGCAUUGCCAUCAAGGGGAUGAAAUAUGAAUAAAUGGAUGAUAAAUUUGGAAAUCAUAUUCAUUUGGGACUUCUUUAAUUUUAUAGUUAAAAGAAAAUAUAAAUGAUGCCUUCGUUAUGAUAGUGUUCAAAGAUUGGCUUUAUUUCAAAUAUAACCGUAUGGGUUAUUCUAGUGGUUUUAUAGCCCUCUCACAAAGGCCAAAACUUGAGUCUGCCAUCUUGACAUUAUUGUUUAAAUUAAAUUAAAUGUUAUUUUAUAUAAUACUAUAACAAAAACCACUCAACUUAGUCCAAUUCAAUCACCAAACAUUUUCAUUAGAUUAGUUUAGUCCAACUCAACAAUAAACAUUAUUUUACUUUAUUCAAAUUAAAACUUUGCAGCCUGAUUAAAACAUCUAUUUACUUUACAAUAUUGAGUUGAAGAGUCCUCACUUCCGUAUGGUAUUAUGUAAAAUUACCAUAAAAAAAAUUAUUGGUUUAGUAGAGAAAAAUCUAUAAAAUUGAAGGAUAUUAAUGAGUUGCAUUGAAAGUUCUCAACAAAAUGGACACAUAUAAUUCUUAUCAUCCUUACCAUUGCCUCAUUCGAAGUAAGGUUCCAUUGAAUAGGAGUAGUAACACCGGGCAUCCAAUAUCAUUGGGAGCAGUGAAGUAAAUUUUGGCAUUGUUCCAUCUGGUCAAGUCUAUAUCAAUUGCACAUAUAUAUGCGUGCUAAGCUUAUUAUAUAUACGCAUAACUAUAUAUUAUAUAUCGUAAGGAUACUUCUCCCAUUUAGUCAUGUUUCGCAUCAUUUUAAAAAUAAUCACGUCGAGUUAAAUAACAUUACAAAAAAAAAAAGAACCAAUUUACAAAAUCAAAACUAAUGUAGAAACAAAGAAAGCGUAAGAGGUUUUAGAAUAACCUCUCAUGUUUGUACCUAAAGACAUUAGUCAAAUAAAAAACUAUAUCUUACGAAGGACGAAACCAAAACUAUUAUUACAGUUUACGAAGGAUAUGAGAUGAGCUCCAUGUAUGUUGUGGCUGAACAGUGAUAUGCGUGAUAGGAGCAUAAGUAUAUGUUGGAUAAAGUGUAAAUGAGAUUUGUUGCAAAAUCAUUGAUAAUGCUAUUUUGGCUUCAAUCAUUGCAAAGUUUUGACCGAUGCAAAUACGAGGACCCCAUCCAAAAGGAACAUAACAUACUUGAUUCUUUGUUGCUUUGGAAAUUCCUUCUUGACAAUCUUUGUGGGUUGAACUCAAUUGCAUAUUCACUUCAUAUUUUGGGAUUUUGGUGUAUGCUUAAGAUUAUUGGUAUUCCUAUUGAUACUCCACUUGGUAAUGUCAAAUUCCCCAAUUUUGUUUCAUUGGGAAUCUCUCGAGCUAACAUUCCAACCGGAGGGUACAGCCUAAGAACUUCAUUUAGUAUCAUACUUAAUGACCUGUAUCGAAUGGUACAUAUAAAAUUAAGUUAUUUUAACAAAGAUGAUUUUACUUACUAUUCUUAGAUGACUUGGAGCAUCAAAAUCCAAGUUCUAGAACCUCCAAAAACCUCCAAGACUUCUGCGCUCGCUCGAUCUUGCCAUACCGAGUAUCGACCAAGUAGAAUAAUUGUCCAAGUAAGCAAUGCAGCUGUGGUUUAUUGACCAGCAAAAUAGAAAAGCCUGCAUUCAUUAAUUACUUCUUCUAUGCUCAUUCCAACAUCUUUCUUGUUUUGUUGUUCUUCAAUUUGACUUGCAUUUGAUUCUAAUAGGAUGCCUAAAAGAUUUUCAUUUUUUGAAGCUUCAACUUUCUCCAUAGCAUUUUGUCUUUUGGUUAUAAUACUUAAAACCAUAUCUCGUAUUUUCCUAUCAAUCUCUCCCAUCCUCUUGUUUAAUUUAGUUGGUAUGUACCUAAAAACAAAUAUGUAUAAUAUUUCAUCAAGAACUGAUGUAUUCAAUGAAAGUAGUUUUACUUAUUACUUUAUAUUUUAGUUUACACAAUUUAAUUUCCCUCGGUGACAGUGAAACAUUUAAGAACUUUGAAAAGACCGAAUAGAAACAAUAGAGAUAUUUAAACGUGGAUACCGUUGAGUUGGUUAUCGUAAUAUGACUUAUGGAUAUAUACAUACACACAUAUAUAGUAAAACACACAUUAGGUUUCGUUCAUCAAUUAAUCGACAGGAAGAGAAAUAACUCAUUGGUUUUACAAAGAGUAUGAGGUCUGUUGAUCUUUCCCAAUGUGUAAUUCUCAACCAUCCACUUAAGAUAUAUGUGUACCUCUUUUGACUUAAAAAAUUAGACAUUCUAAUUUUAAUUUUUUCGGACUGAGUAUCUAUUUGAAUUUGAUGAGCUUUAAUACUAUAUUAGAACAAUUAGUCCUCUGAUAAUAAUAUUACAUGUGAACUAAAAUGAUAUGAAAGCCCAUGUAAAUAUGUAAUCCAAAUGGACACUCAGUUCCCAACCAAAAGAAAGACACCCUCUCGAAGGACAAAUUUAAUUAAGUUAAACCGAACAUAUAUAAAUCAUCCAAUUGAAUUGUGUGUUACCUAAACCCUGGGAUGAAAUAAACUCUGUUUGUUAGGUAUGUAGUGAAUAGCGAAGCUGCCUCUUUCAAGAGCAGGAAGAUUAUUUUUUCCUCCUUCAUUACUCAGCAGCUAAAUUUUGAAAAUCAGGCCACAUAUCUAUUUCACAACUUCCUUCUUCACUAAUCAUGUUUUCCCAUGUUAACCAUUUCUCUACACCUCUUCGAGAAUGCUGGAAACAUAUCCUGCAAACCAUUGUAGAUUAUAUGUUGUUUUCAUACAACUUUUUUACUAACCAUGGUUUUGAUCUUUUCAAACUGAAGUCUAGUAACUCUCUUAGUCAAAUUUUAUAGACAACAAAAAAGAAUUUUAAAACUUUUUUUUUCAAAGCGGCUUGCCUCUAACCUCUCGAUCACAUAUUCAUUAAAUUGCAGAUUGACCUAAGGAGUGGAAAUCAAUUUAUUUACUAUAUAUAUGUGUGUGUGUGGGAGGAAAAUGACAUCACUUGAGGAGUUCAAUUAACUGAAGAAAUAAAAUGUAUACUUUCAACUUGUCCACAUGAAAUGCAGGGUUGAUGAUCUUUCUGUGUUUAGCCCAUUUAGGUCGUCCCUCAAGAGAGACAAGCCCACUUCUCCUUCUUCUUCUAAAGGGAAAAGAAGAUGUCUUAUGAAAUUCAUUGAUUUGAGAGAAAACAAUCUUCACUUGUUCUGGCUCUGUUAUAUAUACUCUUGGAGUUGUUCCAAUUCAUGUGAAAGAAUCCUUACCUACCAAAUUUCAUUUCAAAUAUACUAUGAAUUAGCUUUAGUUAAAUCAAGCCAUUCUAUUUUCAUUACAAAGUUAGAUCAUCUAAAGAAGCACGAACACUCUAGUUGAACACAUAUGAGACAGUACUUGUUAGUGGAACAAAAUGUAUUUUAAAUGCAUAGACCAUUUACGUUGAGUAAAUUAAAAAGAUACAUAUAUAACAAUAGUAAUAAAUUAUGAUGAAUGCAUCAAACUAACCACUUUAAGCAUAUAAAUACUUUUUCUUUUUUUGGGUAUAAAAUGAUAUAUAAUUAACAAACGUGUUCUUGUUUAUUUGUUUCUUAGUAGUUGCUAUAUAUUAUCUAUCCCUCUCCCUUAGAUCGGCUCCAAUUUCUCCCACUCCUCUGCCAACACAAGAAGUAGAGCAAUUCCUCACACUCCUGAUAAAGAAGGAAAGUGAAAAAGGCGGUGCAAGUGCGAGAGGGGAGAAAGGGACGUGAUUGAUCAGAAGGACAGAGAUUGAAGUAGCAAGUACCGAAAAUGUGACGUAUUUUAGAAUCCAGGUCUUUGCAUAUAUAGAAGUAAUAAUAAUUUCAGUAUUUGUGAUGGUGGGAUAAGCAUAAGGGGUUAUGCGUGGAGCAAUAUGAUGGGAAAAGCUCAUGGGCUGCGAUGUUCUUGCUUGCCGGACGGCCGCCGUAAUCUCCUUUGUAUCCCCAAAGAGAAAGCGAUAAGAGUUGCCGGCGAGGCCUUGUUGUCUCAACAACUUCUCAACCCUCUUCGGCCUAAACCAAACCCAAUUCAGAAUUCUCUCCAUCCCCAUAAUCCCAACACCCACAGUGAACCCACCACCCAUAUCCAAUUCCACUUCAUCGAUCUCUACUUUCCCCCCUCCCCUUAGAUUUCCCAACAUUUAGUUGAUUUUUCAAGAUUUGAGCACGCAUCACCAUGAUGGUGGUAAUUUAAAGUUGAAAGCCCGCUUGGGCCACAACUUUUAUGGGAUUCUAAUUACUACGAGACAUUUCUAAAUGUAACAAUUAGAUUGUGUAAUAGUUUGAAGGAUAGUUGUAAAUUUAGCAAUAAAGUAUAUAACAACAUUUUAAAAAAUUUGCAAAUACACUAAAAUUUGUCAAAUUCUAUCAAUGAUAUAAGUCUAUCACCGAUAGACCAUGUUGUAAAUAUUGGUCUAUGACUGAUAGAUUGUACGAAGUCUAUCAGCGAUACAAGUCUAUCCGUGAUAGUUUUACAAUAUUUUGCGAGUUUAUAUACUUAGAUUAUUAUCUCUAUAAUUGUUAUCCACUAUAAUUAACUUAAUUAGAUUCCUAAUUAUAAUAGUUAAUGUGUUUAGGAGAAUCGUCGUACAUACCAAAAUGGUAUUAAAAUUUACAAAAUAUAGCAAAAUUUCAAAUUUUAUUGAUGUUAGACAUUGAUUGGCACUCUGUAUCUCUAAAAUUUUGUUAUAUUUUGUAAAUAUCUUAGAUUUAUUUUGUUAUAUAUAAAAAUAUUGUCUAAUAUUUUUAACUAUAUUAUGACUCGACUGAUAUACACACUAUUAUAAUUCGCAAACUACACUAAUUGAUCAAUAACUAUUCUAAUGAACUUUCCUUCAAAUAUUUCCUACAAAAUUCUCUCAUGUUUUUCCUCUAAUUUUUCAUAAUGUUUGAUGGUAAUAUAGACAUAUCAUUGGUAUGAAAAAAAAGAAGAAAAAGAAAAAAGAAACAUAAAAUGAUAUUAAUAGUAACAAAGUUUUCAGUUAAUGUGAGAAAUGUGAAUGUGAUAUGUUUAUUUAUUACUUUUAUUUUAAUUUUAAUAUUUUGUUUUAGUUUGUUUCAAAAUAUUUGACAAAAUAUCGAUAUGAAAAACAUUUCAUAAUAUGAAAAGAAAAUAAGCACCUAAAUGAUUGAGUAUAAUUUGGGCAAAUAAUGUAUAGCCUCAGGCUUGUAGUGAGAGAUAAGGUGGACCAAACAAAAUGGAACCAUUCAUGUUGUCUCCACAUUCAUAAUGAAAUCAAAAGAAAGCAGAAAAAAAAAAUAUGAAAGUGUGAUGAAAAGAUGUCUCAAAUAUGUAACAUCAUUCAUCACGUCCAAAAUAAUUUAUAUUGAAAAAUCAAAACCACUACACAAACAAACAAAGUUGAUACUUCUUCCUUCUUGUUGUUAAUGAGAACGACGUUCAUAAUAUCUUUACAAUGGUAUGAUCAGAUUGUCCAUUUUAAAUAUAAAUCUUCAUAUCUUUGUUUUUUGUUUAACUUAAAAUGUCUUUUAUUACCAAUGAAAAUUAUUGUUCUCGUGAUAAUACCAAUGAUCAUCUCCUUAAACAAUUUUAAAAUCACUCACAAGCAAAUACUAAAUAUGUUUAAUGCCGUGGAGGCUAAACAAUCCAGCAAGAAUCUUAGGUAACUAUAUUCUUAGAAUUGUCUCCUUGCAAUUAUAUAUAUAUAUAUAUAUAUAUAUAUAUAUAUAUAUAUCCACAAAUUCAUUCAUCAAAACACGUAGAAAAAUGUCAAGAAUGUACAUGUUUCAAUUUCAUCCAAAAAUUAUCAUAAACUCGUAAAAGGGAAAAAAAAAAGAGGCAUGAGCCAAGUCUUUCUAACAUAUAAACUAUAAAACCCAAAAACAUUUAACAAGUAGUUAAAGUAUAAGUUUUUCUUUUUCUAAAACUAUAUAAAAUUGUACAAACCAUCAUCUAACCUAAUUAGUUAGUUAAAUAAUUAAAGAUUAUUAACAAAUCCUCUCCUUCUUGAUUCAGGAAUACACAAAAAUGCUUUUCUCCAAGUAGUGUCAGCAACCAAUUGUUUCAAUACUUUUGUAUAGGCUUUAUCAUCAAUAUCGACCAUGCUAUUUAAAAUUUUGAUGCAUUUGUUUAAGUCUUCAUCAGCAUAAUCUCUUUCUUUUGACGAAAUUUCGCUAAAUUCACCUGAUGGAAAACCAAAAAGUCUUCCUUCAAGUAUAUCAUUUCUCCUCUUUAAAUUCUCAACAUAAGCUUCCUUGAAAGAUGACAUUAUAUCAUUUAGGACUUCUCUUUUUCUUUUAGAUUUCUUGCUCAUACUACUUUGACCUUGAUUUUCAUCUCUACUAUUUCCACAAUCUUCAUUGCUCAUCGGAGAAUCACUUUCUGUUUUAUUAUCAUAUUCAGAAUCUGAAGAAAGUUUUGUAGAUGGAAGAGCAUCAAGCUCUGUUGUUGCAAUUGUAUCUCCAUAUAUUCCCAUCAAUUUUCCGUAAUGUGGACAUCCACUCUUUUUGAACUUCUUAGCUUUCUUGUUAACCUACAAAAUUUUACCAACUUAUAGCUCUUGGUAAAAUUAUUUUAUCAUAGAGUAAUGACAAAGAUUAAAUAACAGUAAUUGAAACAGUACCUUAAUGAGAUUAGUCCACUGCGCCUCUCCUAAAGUAAUAGUUCCCAAUACAGGAUCCCAACCUUUUCCAUUAAUAUCACUCAACAACUUUUUGAAUUCUUUGUAACGAUGUCUAAGACUGUUAUACUUAUUUUUCAAUUGUUCAUGAGAAUAAGCAUAUCCUGUUUUUACAUACAGUUGUUCCUUUAUAUAAGUCCAACUAGUUUUGGUAAAGGUUGUAGUUGGACGAUUUCCUUUUGCAACUUCAUCUUCCAUCAAAUUGAUAAAAAUUGUCUCAUUUUUAAAUGACCAAGGCCCAUCAAAUCUUGAUACAUCAAUUUGAUUAACAUCUUCAAUAUGAUUGAUCUUCAUGAAUCCUGAAAAUAACAAUCUUACUUUAGUAUCUUCAUCUAUAUAAACGGUUGCAUAAAGGAACAUAUUUAUAGAGGCGCCCACCUAAAUUUGAUUGAGAAUAAGAAAUAAUCUUUGUCUGCGAACUGUUAGAAUUAUUUUAACAUACAGGAUGCAAACGACCAAGAGGACUUUUGAAGGGAGAAAACUUAGUAGUUUCAAUUACUAACAAAAAAAUUUUCCGAAUAAAGCAAGGUACGAAGUUUUGAACCUCCAACUUGAAGAGAUAUAUGAUAGCCAUACUAAGAGAUCUAAGUUUACUGACAGAAAAUUUAAGAGAGAUAAUAAUGGUCCAUCCAAGAUCAAAGAAAGCAAACAUCUAAGAAAUCAUAAGACAUGCCAAAGCGAGCAUAGCUCAACUAACAUCCAAGUGUAUUAGCGACCACGAUCUGUGGUUCAAGUCCCCAAACUCCAAUUGGAAUCCCCUCAUUUCCUGUGGCAGUGCAAAAUUUCUUCAAUCCAUACAAAACUUUAUCUUCCUACAGCCAUGGAUUUCAAUACCUUGUCAAGAAGAGAGCACCAAGCACUCUGCAAGAGGAAUAAGAUUCCGGCCAAUAUCACUAAUGUCAUCAUGGCUGACACUCUUCCAUCCGUUGAAAGAAUCAAAGAAUUUUUUAACAGUAAAAGAUCAAGGAUACCUAAAUCCCCGAUGGAAGCAUAGGUUUCCUUGGAAAUACCUGAACUGCAUUGAUAUCUUUGACAAGAAGAAAGGAUGUCAUAGUCGAAGAUGAGACAAUUACUACUGCAAUUACUACUCAAACACGUUCUGCUGCAGAAGCAAGAGACACAAGGGAAUCAGAAAACAGAGAUCUAAUUGUGGCUUCGACUACUCUGUCCUUUCCAGGUGGCUGGAGAAGGACAGUGGCAGCUUCUUCAGCUUGCAAGAAAGUGGAUUUUCAGAUGAUGGUUGAUGAUCAGUAAAAGAACAAUGAUCGGGAUCAAGAAAAUAAUGCAAAUAGAAAAACGUCAGCUGUGCCUAAAAGCCAGUAGUGUUGUGGGGGCCUUAACCUGUAAACAAACCAAGACUCAGAACAAUGAAGCUGUAGAGCAGCAAGAUUGCAGUACAAGGAGGUCCGUCAGAUUGUUGGACAAGAACAUGGAGAGAUUGAGUUUAGGGGAAAAGGGGAGAAUGGAGUCAAUUACUAUCCAUAUUUCGUUCGAUGAUAUGCCUAACUGUUCAGGACCCGUGAAGAAGGAUGCAGAAUUAGAAACUGCGUCAAAGAAAACCAAUGAACCAGAAAGAAAAUUAAAUGAAGAUUUGGACAUCGAAGUUGAUGAACGAGAGAAGAAUGAGAUGAAGUCUGAAACCAGAGAAAUGGUUCUUGAUGAUCCCUUGAAAUCUUCUGAAGAAAAUCUAGUUAGAGAUAAGAGUGGUGAUCAUACUG
rnacentral:lncRNA from 1 species